AUACGUAGGGGGCGAGCGUUGUCCGGAAUGAUUGGGCGUAAAGGGCGCGUAGGCGGCUUUGCAAGUCAGUAGUGGAAGUCCAUUUUUCAAGGAUGGAAGUGCUACAGAAACUGCGGAGCUUGAGUGCAGGAGAGGUUAUCGGAAUUCCCGGUGUAGCGGUGAAAUGCGUAGAGAUCGGGAGGAACACCAGUGGCGAAGGCGGGUAACUGGACUGCAACUGACGCUGAGGCGCGAAAGUGUGGGGAGCAAACAGGAUUAGAUACCCUGGUAGUCCACACUGUAAACGAUGAAUGCUAGGUGUAGGAGGUAUCGACCCCUUCUGUGCCGCAGUAAACACAGUAAGCAUUCCGCCUGGGGAGUACGGUCGCAAGAUUAAAACUUAAAGGAAUUGACGGGG
rnacentral:rRNA from 1 species